UACGGAGGGUGCAAGCGUUGUCCGGAUUUAUUGGGUUUAAAGGGUGCGUAGGCGGCAGAUUAAGUCAGCGGUGAAAUUCCACAGCUCAACUGUGGAACUGCCAUUGAUACUGGUUUGCUUGAGUACAGAUGAGGUAGGCGGAAUUGACAGUGUAGCGGUGAAAUGCUUAGAUAUUGUCAAGAACACCUAUUGCGAAGGCAGCUUACUAAGCUCGUAACUGACGCUGAGGCACGAAAGCGUGGGGAUCAAACAGG
rnacentral:rRNA from 1 species